rnacentral:rRNA from 1 species
UACGUAGGGUGCAAGCGUUGUCCGGAAUUAUUGGGCGUAAAGAGCUCGUAGGCGGUCAGUCGCGUCUGCUGUGAAAACUCGGGGCUUAACUCCGGGCCUGCAGUGGGUACGGGCUGACUAGAGUGCGGUAGGGGAGACUGGAAUUCCUGGUGUAGCGGUGAAAUGCGUAGAUAUCAGGAGGAACACCGGUGGCGAAGGCGGGUCUCUGGGCCGUAACUGACGCUGAGGAGCGAAAGCGUGGGGAGCGAACAGG